CCUGGACCUCCGCUGCAGCUGGCAUGGCUGUCCAGUCAGCCCAGACCCAGAAAGACCCCCAGGAGCAGGCCUGAGCCCACUGACUGUAAGGACCACGCCCAGGGGACCCAGCUUGAAGCAGAGGCGCCCAACCCAGCUCAGCGGCUGAGCAGAUGCAUGGGAGAGGGCUGGUCUCUGCCCGUGGAAGUCACACUGUGUCAAGUGACCACAAAGUCUGAAUCAGCCAAGAUGGAGCCAGCACUCCCGGGGAAGCUAGGGCUGGGCUUACAUAACCCGUUUUAAGGGUAUUUUUGUUUAAAGACCUUCGUUACUACAAUACAUAUGUGGGGUCGUUAACAGAACCCACAACUCGGGCCCCACAGUCAUGAGCGAGAAGCUUCAACACUCUCCAGAAGGCGCCUCCCAGCCUCCUGGCUCUGGCCCCAAGACGGCACUUCAGCACCCGUUCAGGGCCGUUCACAGGGAAACCGCCAACCAAAAGCACAGCGAAGUGGAACCAGAUCAGCAGUCAGACCCCCAGAAGGACCUUUGUUUAUAACGGAACAGGGGGACCUGCUUUGUCCGACCUCACCAGGGAGCAUGCGUCGGGUCUGCUCCGCACAGCACAGGCGGCUCUCCACUACCGGCAUGCGGCCUAGCCCCGACAGCCUUCCACCUGGCACAUCCUGGCUGCUCCCACGCCCAGCUCUGUGCUCCCCAGGAACACAAAGCAAUUCUAGCAUCAUUAUAAACCAAACGUAAUUAGGAAGCCUGCAACCUGGGAAGAGCAGAAUGGCUGUUGGCUCUCCGGGGCACCCACCCAGGUUCUCCACUCUGGGACAGCACACAGCAGAUGGAGCUUCUAGAACUCUCAGGACCACUGGCUUGGCCGGCAUGGCGCACGGGUGCUGCAGGACACUGGCUCUGAAAUGCAUGUGUGCGUGUGCACGGGCACAAGCAUGCACAGCUGGGCAGAGGGGCAUAGUCCUCAGAGUGCCUGAAAAGGGAGGCAGGGGGCAGCCUCGAAAUCUGGCACAUGGCUGGAGUGAGGGGGGAUCGGGGAUACCAAGAUGGCAGGAGGGCAGCUGAGAGCUGGCAGAACCUGGGUGCACAUGGCGGUGGGGCUCACGGGUGGAGAGGUAGCCACGGUCCACCGUGCAGAAGGAAUGUGAGCAGCAGCAGUGGGUUCCAGGCCAGGAGGGACCAGAGGAAAAGAGACCAGGAGGCUGUGGACGCAGAUGACUGGUCACCCCAAGAAUAACGGGCACCAGCCAGGCUGGGGAACAGGGCUGCCUGCUGGUAUUGAGGGGGCCUCGCAGGGGGCUCAGAGAGGCUCCCAUCAGGCCAGUCUUGGGUGGGAGUCAGCUCCAGGGCUCCACCAGCCUACACUGUCAUCGAACCCCUCCACCUUCGCCCCACUCGGCUCCCAGUGAUGCUUGGGGAGGAGGGCCGCCGGGGCCCCGCCAGGAGAGAGAGCUCCCAACAGCAGAG